GAACUGCUUUGUCCAAAAGUGCUGGGUUUGCACAAGUAAGUAUUUUUUGUGAGUAAUACCUGCCUCUCCUUUGUUGGAACCCGAUAAUCUGCCUCUUUGUCUGCUUUUGUGUGCUUUAAACAAGCUAAGUGAAUUUUUGCAUGUCUGAUAUCAUGUGUCGUAAUUCCAGGGUUUUGUUUCUGGCUCUGGUUUUGAUUUUAUUACCACUCUAGUUAUGUUGAGCUUUCCUGUCUCUAACUCUUUAGUGUCAGUUGCUGUUUGGUUUAUUUGCUGUUUUAUGCCAAACAUUAGGUGUUUUUUGGCAUCUAGAUUCCUUUUCCCUCCUCCCUCCUGUUGUUAUCAGUUGUUUACUGUUUAUUUCACUCCCUGUGUCCAUGUAGUCUGGCCUACCCGUUGCUCUUCACCAAAUCACUGUUGGUUUCCCUGUUUUCAGUCUGUGCAUUCCUGCUUCAUAGAUUUUUUUGCUUAACACCAAAUAAAUACUCAUUAUUUGUUUGUUUAAACCAACAUCUCCGCAUUAUAACUCAUGGCGACAUGACCCAUCAACAAAACACAAGUGAAUUUAAUAAAAUAAAACAAACAAAAGCUAAAAUUGGUCAGCCCCUUAUUCAUGAGAAAGCACAGUAAAACCCACAAGUCUGAGUAUAUUUUCCAGACAUAAUAAAUCCUUAAUUAUUAACCUGUGAGCACCCAGAGCAACGCUGUCGUGAGAAACAAAUUGAAUUUUGAGGAUAGAGACAAAGUAUUCCUAGCAUUGGCUUGAGUUUUAUCUACUGAGGCUCCUUUAAAGACAUAUCUUUGCAAACCAACUAUACGAACAACUUUAAAAAUAUGAUUUAAAUAUCAAAGUACCCCUGGGUGUACUGUACACACAGUUAUCUUUGCAACAAGAAAAAAAAUAAGCACAUUAAGGUGGAAUCAAUUUGGGGUUUUUUCUGCUAAUACUUUGUGUGUUAAACUUCAAAUUAUAUUUACAUUAAGCAGUUUUUCUGCUUAAAUAAAGAAUGAAUUCAUCUUCACCACAGAGUGAGUGUGCACCUUUCAGUAACAUUUCUACAUGCAAAAACAAGAGGCAGCAGGUCUGUGAACUUUUCCAUGUAAACAGCUGAUUUGCAAAAGCUAUCAUGAGAUAAGAGUCACAACAGUGGCAGUUUCAGGGUGUGGAGCACCGCUGUGAGCAAGGUGUGGCUGAUCAAAUGAGUUCAGUCACCUGGGUAAAUAAAGUUUGGUUAUAUGGUCAAACAAAACCAAUAAAAAAAACAAAGGGAUAUGGGGUAUUGUAUAAAAACAAGACAGGGUGAGAUUAAUUUAAAAAAAAAAAACUGACCAGGCACUGAAAUCACUUUUAUUUCUUUGCUGACAAACACUGGAUAAAAUAAUGCUUGUUAAAGCUCACAAUGAUCUAAAGUAACUUGACAGAUGAUUAAUUUGGUAUCCAUCAAAGUUUAGAUUAUUAUUAUUUUCUGACAAAAGCUGGACUGAUUUUUUUUUUUAAGCAAAACUGUGUUAAAGCUCAAGAUGAUGAGACAGGAGCAUGAAGGUUUCCGGGUUUUGUCCAUCUAGUCGGAGUCGCUGCUGCAGGAGCUGCUGGAAGACUACAACAGACAACAUGAGUCGUGUUAUUCAUCAAAACUCACGAGAAGCUCAGUUUGUCAAAGUUUAUCUAGCAUUUUAAGCAGGUCUUGCAAGUUUUGCAAAAACACUAUGAAAAAUACAUUUCUGUGUUUUCCUGUGAGUUGCAAGUCCACAAUUUGGUUGUGUUGUAAAAAUUUCUCAUGUUAUAUGUCACACUUUGAAUUUCUGGUUCGGUGCAAUCAGUCUUACCCCGUGGCUGUCCUUUCCUUUCUUGUGACAGUGGCCAUGCUUGUGACCGUGCUUGUGCUUAUGUUUGUCCUUUUUCUUGUCCUUUUUCUUGUCCUUGUGUCCAUGUCCAUGUCCAUGUCCAUGUCCGUGUCCAUGUCCAUGUCCGUGCCCAUGUCCGUGUCCUCCAUGUGGCCCAUGGUGCUGAGGAGGACAGGUUGGUGGGACAGUCCCUGGAGGACAACCCUGUGGAGGGUAACCCCCCUGCGGAGGGCAACCCCCCUGCGGAGGAUAGUUCGGGUAACCAGGUGGGCCUAAAACAAAGGAGAAAUGAGGAAUCAGCUGUAAGUUCAAGGUGAUGAUUGAGGGGGCGAGCUAAAAGAGUCGUGUUUACCUUGGUUGUGUCCGUACAUUUUGCUGCGUUACCAGGAGAAACUGCAGGUCCUGAAGAAUAAAAAGACAGGUUUUAAAUUAAAAUCUUU
ensembl:lncRNA